UAAAAAGACGGAACAACACGGAGCAUUACUACAAGUCUACAAGACUGCUUGAAGGUUGAAACAUGUGAGAAUCCUUCAUUGUGAGGCACUUAGAAGGGAUGUUUUUAGAAACUUGAUGCUGCAAAUGUUGGAGUUCAAUGAAAUACAAGCAAGCUUUACAGGGAGCUCCCAGCAGCAUAUCAAGUACAGAGGACACGAGGGGGUUCCAAAGCAGGGAUGUGAAGCCCCUCUUCCACAUCCUGUUUUCGUCGACAGUAAGUUCCUCCUGACAUCCAUGUUCUAAGAAGUUUCAUGCAAGCAUGGAAACUUGGCACAAAGCGAAUGAAGGGAUCCAAGUGCCUUUGGGCCUACCUUAACAAAAAGGUGUAAGACAUGAAAGUUUUCACAUGUCGAUAGGACACAAGAGUACAAACUAACUGAAGGGUGCUAUGCUUCUUCAGCCCUUCAGGGCCGAAGCACAACUGGAGUCUGAGGCUUCAUGUGUUGGAGAAACAACACAAUGGUGCAUACCAACCCGAUGAUGUUUCUUCUCAAGGCCUACCUCCAG
rnacentral:lncRNA from 1 species